rnacentral:rRNA from 1 species
AACGAACGCUGGCGGCAGGCUUAACACAUGCAAGUCGAACGCAUCGCAAGAUGAGUGGCAGACGGGUGAGUAACGCGUGGGAAUCUACCCAGUUCUACGGAACAACAGUUGGAAACGACUGCUAAUACCGUAUACGCCCUACGGGGGAAAGAUUUAUCGGAAUUGGAUGGGCCCGCGUAAGAUUAGCUAGUUGGUGGGGUAAUGGCCUACCAAGGCGACGAUCUUUAGCUGGUCUGAGAGGAUGAUCAGCCACACUGGGACUGAGACCACGGCCCAGACUCCUACGGGAGGCAGCAGUGGGGAAUAUUGGACAAUGGGCGCAAGCCUGAUCCAGCCAUGCCGCGUGAGUGAUGAAGGCCUUAGGGUUGUAAAGCUCUUUCACCGAUGAAGAUAAUGACGGUAGUCGGAGAAGAAGCCCCGGCUAACUUCGUGCCAGCAGCCGCCGUAAGAC